AUCGCUUCUCGGCCUUUUGGCUAAGAUCAAGUGUAAAAUAAGUGGUCAGAUGUUGUGGAAGAAUGGCUAUUUGUAUAAUCUCAAGUCUCAAAAUAUCUCCCAGAAGAUAUUCAUUAAAUACAUAGGGGGAAAUGUUACAGCAAGCAUCGCUUUAUUCCAGUGGUCAUGGCUAAGGUUGCCAGUAGCACAGUCCA
ensembl:snRNA LOC120101118 U2 spliceosomal RNA